AUUGAACGCUGGCGGCAGGCCUAACACAUGCCAGUCGAGCGGAUGAAGGGAGCUUGCUCCUGGAUUCAGCGGCGGACGGGUGAGUAAUGCCUAGGAAUCUGCCUGGUAGUGGGGGAUAACGUCCGGAAACGGGCGCUAAUACCGCAUACGUCCUGAGGGAGAAAGUGGGGGAUCUUCGGACCUCACGCUAUCAGAUGAGCCUAGGUCGGAUUAGCUAGUUGGUGGGGUAAAGGCCUACCAAGGCGACGAUCCGUAACUGGUCUGAGAGGAUGAUCAGUCACACUGGAACUGAGACACGGUCCAGACUCCUACGGGAGGCAGCAGUGGGGAAUAUUGGACAAUGGGCGAAAGCCUGAUCCAGCCAUGCCGCGUGUGUGAAGAAGGUCUUCGGAUUGUAAAACACUUUAAGUUGGGAAGAAGGGCAGUAAGUUAAUACCUUGCUGUUUUGACGUUACCAACAGAAUAAGCACCGGCUAACUUCGUG
rnacentral:rRNA from 1 species